AACGAACGCUGGCGGCGUGCUUAACACAUGCAAGUCGAACGCGAAAGGGACUUCGGUCCUGAGUAGAGUGGCGCACGGGUGAGUAACGCGUAAGUAAUCUACCCCUGUAUUCGGAAUAACCUACCGAAAGGUGAGCUAAUACCGGAUACGUUUAUCUUGAUGCGAAUGAUGAUAAAGAAAGGUGGCCUCUUCUUGAAAGCUACUGUACAGGGAUGAGCUUGCGUACCAUUAGCUAGUUGGUAGGGUAAUGGCCUACCAAGGCGACGAUGGUUAGCGGGUCUGAGAGGAUGAUCCGCCACACUGGAACUGAAACACGGACCAGACUCCUACGGGAGGCAGCAGUCGGGAAUUUUGGGCAAUGGGCGAAAGCCUGACCCAGCAACGCCGCGUGAAGGAUGAAAUCCUUCGGGAUGUAAACUUCGCAAGAACGGGAAGAAUAAGUUGGUGUGAACAUCACCAGCGAUGACGGUACCGUUUGUAAGCUCCGGCUAACUCCGUGCCAGCCGCCGCGGUAACAC
rnacentral:rRNA from 1 species